AGCGCAGGCGGGAAGACAAGUUGGAAGUGAAAACCAUGGGCUCAACCCAUGAAUUGCUUUCAAAACUGUUUUUCUUUGAGUAGUGCAGAGGUAGAUGGAAUUCCCGGUGUAGCGGUGGAAUGCGUAGAUAUCGGGAGGAACACCAGUGGCGAAGGCGGUCUACUGGGCACCAACUGACGCUGAGGCUCGAAAGGCAUGGGUAGCAAACA
rnacentral:rRNA from 1 species